UGAAGAGACUGCAAGACUUGAGAUCGGGUGAGGUUAAACGUACUUUCAGGGUAGGGGUAAAAUCCUGUAAUCCCGGAAGGACGACCAGUGGCGAAAGCGUUUAACUAGAACGAAUCUGACGGUAAGGAACGAAGGCUAGGGUAGCAAACCGGAUUAGAUACCCGGGUAGUCCUAGCUGUAAGCAUUGCCCAUUUGAUGUUGCUUUCCCGUUGAGGGAAGGCAGUGUCGGAGCGAAGGUGUUAAAUGGGCCGCUUGGGAAGUAUGGUCGCAAGACUGAAACUUAAAGGAAUUGGCGGGGGAGCACCGCAACGGGAGGAAUGUGCGGUUUAAUUGGAUUCAACGCCGGAAAACUCACCGGGAACGACCUGUGCAUGAGAGUCAACUUGACGAGCUUAAUCGAUAGCAAGAGAAGUGGUGCAUGGCCAGUCAUCAGCUCGUACCGUAGGGCGUCCCUUUAAGUGUGAUAACGAGCGAGACCACAUCUUAGAUGCAAUGUAUAUGGGAAU
rnacentral:rRNA from 1 species